GCACCCUAUUACCCUAUAUCCUGCACUUCUUUAGGGCCCCGGAUCAAAUGUAGUGGUCUAUAUAGGGAAUAGGGUGCCAUAGGGCCCUGGUCAAAUGUAGUGCUCUAUAUAGGGAAUAGGGUGCCAUAGGGCCCUGGUCAAAUGUAGUGCACUAUAUAGGGAAUAGGGUGCCAUAGGGCCCUGGUCAAAUGUAGUGGUCUAUAUAGGGAAUAGGGUGCCAUAGGGCCCUGGUCAAAUGUAGUGCUCUAUAUAGGGAAUAGGGUGCCAUAGGGCCCUGGUCUAAAGUAGUGGUCUAUAUAGGGAAUAGGGUGCCAUAGGGCCCUGGUCUAAAGUAGUGGUCUAUAUAGGGAAUAGGGUGCCAUAGGGCCCUGGUCUAAAGUAGUGGUCUAUAUAGGGAAUAGCAGAACAGCAACUUGUUUUAACCGUCUAACCAACAUCUUCCAUCACAAGUGUUAAACCCCACUUCCCUUCUCUACAUCAGAGUCCGAUGCUGGUAGACCAGAGAAUCUAGCUACCCCACUUCCCUUCUCUACAUCAGAGACCGAUGCUGGUAGACCAGAGAAUCUAGCUACCCCACUUCCCUUCUCUACCAUCAGAGACCGAUGCUGGUAGACCAGAGAAUCUAGCUACCCCACUUCCCUUCUCUACAUCAGAGACCGAUGCUGGUAGACCAGAGAAUCUAGCUACCCCACUUCCCUUCUCUACCAUCAGAGACCGAUGCUGGUAGACCAGAGAAUCUAGCUACCCCACUUCCCUUCUCUACAUCAGAGACCGAUGCUGGUAGACCAGAGAAUCUAGCUACCCCACUUCCCUUCUCUACCAUCAGAGACCGAUGCUGGUAGACCAGAGAACAGAAGACCUCUGUUAUCAAUGUAACAUCCCAGGACAGGCUGACCCAGACAUGUGUACAUCAGGAAGCUCUGACAUCAUAUCCUCCCUCCUCUACAUCAGGAAGCUCUGACAUCAUAUCCUCCCUCUCUACAUCAGGAAGCUCUGACAUCAUAUCCUCCCUCCUCUACAUCAGGAAGCUCUGACAUCAUAUCCUCCCUCCUCUACAUCAGGAAGCUCUGACAUCAUAUCCUCCCUCUUGUUGCUCCGUUAUAUCCUGAUAUAGGAACUGCAGCACCAACCUUAUUCACGACGUCGCUCCGCUCAAAACGUCCAGACCACACAAACACAUUCCUCAUCCUAUCCAUUUGAACUGUGUGUAUCAUGUUGUCUGUACCGGGUCACUAUGAGCAGAACUGUAAAGUGCACUUGGAGAAUGACAACAUUUAAAACCAGACAGGAGACAGACCAGGACAGGGGACAGACGGGAGACUGUCUCAGCUAGGGACAGACGGGAGACUGUCUCAGCUAGGGACAGACAGGAGACUGUCUCAGCUAGAGACAGACAGGGGACAGACCAGGACAGGGGACAGACGGGAGACUGUCUCAGCUAGGGACAGACAGGAGACUGUCUCAGCUAGGGACAGACGGGAGACUGUCUCAGCUAGGGACAGACAGGAGACUGUCUCAGCUAGAGACAGACAGGGGACAGACCAGGACAGGGGACAGACGGGAGACUGUCUCAGCUAGGGACAGACAGGAGACUGUCUCAGCUAGGGAC
rnacentral:lncRNA from 1 species